rnacentral:rRNA from 1 species
CCGAGUGGCGGACGGGUGAGUAACGCGUGGGUAACCUGCCUCAUACAGGGGGAUAACGGUUAGAAAUGACUGCUAAUACCGCAUAAGCGCACAGUACCGCAUGGUACGGUGUGAAAAACUCCGGUGGUAUGAGAUGGACCCGCGUCUGAUUAGCUAGUUGGUGGGGUAACGGCCCACCAAGGCGACGAUCAGUAGCCGGCCUGAGAGGGUGAACGGCCACAUUGGGACUGAGACACGGCCCAA